CACGGGAAAUGGUCGGGAUAGCUCAGUUGGUAGAGCAGA
rnacentral:tRNA from 2 species